rnacentral:rRNA from 1 species
CUGGCGGCGUGCCUAAUACAUGCAAGUAGAACGCUGAAGAGAGGAGCUUGCUCUUCUUGGAUGAGUUGCGAACGGGUGAGUAACGCGUAGGUAACCUGCCUUGUAGCGGGGGAUAACUAUUGGAAACGAUAGCUAAUACCGCAUAACAAUGGAUGACACAUGUCAUUUAUUUGAAAGGGGCAAUUGCUCCACUACAAGAUGGACCUGCGUUGUAUUAGCUAGUAGGUGAGGUAACGGCUCACCUAGGCGACGAUACAUAGCCGACCUGAGAGGGUGAUCGGCCACACUGGGACUGAGACACGGCCCAGACUCCUACGGGAGGCAGCAGUAGGGAAUCUUCGGCAAUGGGGGCAACCCUGACCGAGCAACGCCGCGUGAGUGAAGAAGGUUUUCGGAUCGUAAAGCUCUGUUGUAAGUCAAGAACGAGUGUGAGAGUGGAAAAUUCACACUGUGACGGUAGCUUACCAGAAAGGGACGGCUAACUACGUGCCAGCAGCCGCGGUAAUACGUAGGUCCCGAGCGUUGUCCGGAUUUAUUGGGCGUAAAGCGAGCGCAGGCGGUUUGAUAAGUCUGAAGUUAAAGGCUGUGGCUCAACCAUAGUUCGCUUUGGAAACUGUCAAACUUGAGUGCAGAAGGGGAGAGUGGAAUUCCAUGUGUAGCGGUGAAAUGCGUAGAUAUAUGGAGGAACACCGGUGGCGAAAGCGGCUCUCUGGUCUGUAACUGACGCUGAGGCUCGAAAGCGUGGGGAGCGAACAGGAUUAGAUACCCUGGUAGUCCACGCCGUAAACGAUGAGUGCUAGGUGUUGGAUCCUUUCCGGAUUCAGUGCCGCAGCUAACGCAUUAAGCACUCCGCCUGGGGAGUACGACCGCAAGGUUGAAACUCAAAGGAAUUGACGGGGGCCCGCACAAGCGGUGGAGCAUGUGGUUUAAUUCGAAGCAACGCGAAGAACCUUACCAGGUCUUGACAUCCCGAUGCUAUUUCUAGAGAUAGAAAGUUACUUCGGUACAUCGGUGACAGGUGGUGCAUGGUUGUCGUCAGCUCGUGUCGUGAGAUGUUGGGUUAAGUCCCGCAACGAGCGCAACCCCUAUUGUUAGUUGCCAUCAUUCAGUUGGGCACUCUAGCGAGACUGCCGGUAAUAAACCGGAGGAAGGUGGGGAUGACGUCAAAUCAUCAUGCCCCUUAUGACCUGGGCUACACACGUGCUACAAUGGUUGGUACAACGAGUUGCGAGUCGGUGACGGCAAGCUAAUCUCUUAAAGCCAAUCUCAGUUCGGAUUGUAGGCUGCAACUCGCCUACAUGAAGUCGGAAUCGCUAGUAAUCGCGGAUCAGCACGCCGCGGUGAAUACGUUCCCGGGCCUUGUACACACCGCCCGUCACACCACGAGAGUUUGUAACACCCGAAGUCGGUGAGGUAACCUUUUGGAGCCAGCCGCCUAAGGUGGGAUAGAUGAUUGGGGUGAAGUCGUAACAAGGU